GAUCUCUCCAUCUCCCUCCCUCCCGCGUUCGAAACGGGGUGGGUUUCUUCUUCCUUCCGACCGAAGCUCCCGUCUCUUUCAAAGCACUUGGCCUUCUCCCCCGAUUGUUUUAGGUGAUUUUCGCAAGACAAUUUCCUCUUCCUCUUCGGCAUCUGUUCUUGGCCCUCUCCUCUCGUUCUUGGUGCUUCUUUUGAUCGUUCUUGGGGUCUCUCUCAAUAAAAUUCUUGGAUUCCAACGGAUGUUCCUCUGUUCUUUUUAUUUCUCUAUAUAUUUAGAAUUUUAUCAGAAGAAUUGGAGUUUUGAUGCUAGGUAUCUUGGGAGCUCGAUACCGUUCCACCUCAUCAGAUCAGGAAGUAACUCCUAAUUUGAUCAAGAAAAUUUCCUCUUCCUCUUCGGUAUGUGUUCUUGGCCCUCUCCUGUUGUUCUUGGUGCUUCGUUUGAUCGUUGUUGGGAUCUCUCUCAAGAAAAUUUGGGUUUCCGAUCUGGACUCCAACGGAUGUUCCGCUGUUCUUUUUUUUUCUCCGUAUAUUUACAAUUUUAUAGAAGAAUUGGAGUUUUGAUGCUAGGUAUCUUAGGAACUUGAUGCCGUUCCACUGCAUCAGAUCAGGAAGUAACUCCUAAUUUGAUCAAGAAAAUUUCCUCUUCUUCUUCGGUAUGUGUUCUUGGUCCUCUCCUCUGGUGCUUCUUUUGAUCGUUGUUGGGAUCUUUCUCAAGAAAAUUUGGGUUGCGGGCCUGGACUCCAACGGAUGUUCCGCUGUUCUUUUUAUUUCUCCAUAUUUGUAGAAUUUUUUUAGAAGAAUUGGGGUUUUGAUGUUAGGUAUCUCGGGAGCGUUGCGAUCUUUCAAGGCUGAUCAAAUUAAGAGUUGUUUACUGAUCUGAUGCGGCGGAACGGUAUCAAGCCGUGGCAAUAAUGGGUUGUAGGAGAUCCAGGAUUUCUUUUGAGAGCUAUGUGUUUUCCAGACAAAUUUUUUGAAAGUUUGUUUUUCAAGUUAGCCCAUUUCGAAUUAUCUCGAGGCUUUCUUGAACCCGCCUUCAGAUUUGAAAUAACAAUCAUAUGCACUACCAUAGCUCCAGGUAGAUUGUCAUUUCUGCAACAUCCUGCUACAAGCUGACACCAUGACUUGCAUCUGAAUUAAUCUGCUUUAUGUACAAAUGACGUUCAGGUAUGUUGCAGAGCCAUAGUUGUCAUGGAGUCAUCGGCAGGGUGGAGCAUCAAGAGAGAGGGGAGGGGGGAGAGAAAGCUCUUGAGAGUAGAAUCGAGAGAUAGAGGGAGAGGCGUACCUCAGAGCCAUGGUCAUCGUCAACAGCGGAACAUCUAUAGGGAGGGGCAAGGAAGCUUCCAAAAGUAGAAUCAAGAGAGGGUAGAGAUGGAGAGGGGCAUCGAGAGAUCGAGAUGGAGAGAGAAUGGGAGAGAACAGUUGAUAGAGAGUGAGAGGAUCGGGAUGGCGAAGGGAUUUUUCUGAAAAAC